rnacentral:rRNA from 1 species
AUGCACGCUGGCGGCGUGCCUAAUACCUGCAAGUCGCGCGAACAGACGAGGAGCUUGCUCCUCUGACGUUAGCGGCGGCCGGGUGAGUAACACGUGGAUAACCUACCUAUAAGACUGGGAUAACUUCGGGAAACCGGAGCUAAUACCGGAUAAUAUAUUGAACCGCAUGGUUCAAUAGUGAAAGACGGUUUUGCUGUCACUUAUAGAUGGAUCCGCGCCGCAUUAGCUAGUUGGUAAGGUAACGGCUUACCAAGGCAACGAUGCGUAGCCGACCUGAGAGGGUGAUCGGCCACACUGGAACUGAGACACGGUCCAGACUCCUACGGGAGGCAGCAGUAGGGAAUCUUCCGCAAUGGGCGAAAGCCUGACGGAGCAACGCCGCGUGAGUGAUGAAGGUCUUCGGAUCGUAAAACUCUGUUAUUAGGGAAGAACAAAUGUGUAAGUAACUAUGCACGUCUUGACGGUACCUAAUCAGAAAGCCACGGCUAACUACGUG